UACAGAGGUCUCAACCGUUGUUCGGAUUCAUUGGGCGUAAAGGGUGCGUAGGCGGCCCGGUAAGUCCGCUGUGAAAGUCCAGGGCUCAACCCUGGGAUGCCGGUGGAUACUGUCGGGCUCGAGUCCGGAAGAGGAGUGUGGAAUUCCUGGUGUAGCGGUGAAAUGCGCAGAUAUCAGGAGGAACACCAAUGGCGAAGGCAGCACUCUGGGACGUGACUGACGCUGAGACGCGAAAGCGUGGGGAGCGAACAGGAUAGAAAC
rnacentral:rRNA from 1 species